CUUAGGUAAGGUCUUACAUGCAUUUUACUUGCCUUAUAAAUCUUUUGAUUAUGGUUUUAUUGUAAGAUGUUUACUCUAGUUUUCAUAAUAUAUGUAUAUUGCAUAAUUAUUGACACGACUUGUCACAUUAGUGUUUGUUUCUGUAUGACUGCCAGUCUACCAAUCACACCAUACUUUCACAAAUUUUUUUUUUUGGUUCUUGUGUGGUUUCUUCUU